CCCUUAGAUGUUCUGGGCCGCACGCGCGCUACACUGAACAUAUCAGCUUGUUUUUCCCUUCCUGAGAAGGACGGGUAAACCCCUGAGCCAUGUUCAUGGUAGGGAUUGGGGCUUGCAAUUAUUCCCCACGAACCAGGAAUUCCCAGUAGGCGCAAGUCAUAAGCUUGCGUCGAUUACGUCCCUGCCCUUUGUACACACCGCCCGUCGCUACUACAGAGUGCCCGUGUCCAAGAAACGGUCGGACCUGUGCGGCCUCUCCGGGCGACCGGAGGGCCGUUACGGGGAAGACCCUUUAUUUGACGCGGGUCGAUGAAGUAAAAGUCGUAACA
rnacentral:rRNA from 1 species